UCCCUGGUGGCUCAGAUGGUAAAGAAUCUGUCUGAAAUUCAGGAGACCCAGGUUCAAUUCCUGGUUUGGGAA
rnacentral:tRNA from 1 species